CUCGGUGGCGAUGGCGGAGGUGUCACACCCGUUCCCAUCCCGAACACGGUCGUUAAGCCCUCCAGCGCCGAUGGUACUAUGGGGUUCCCUCAUGGGAGAGUAGGAAGCCGCCGGGA
rnacentral:rRNA from 1 species